GGUGGAAGAAAAGGCCUGUUGUUCGGCAGGGGAGGUGUGCCCGUUGACACAGGGCUGGAGGAAGGAUGUGUGCUUGGAAGAUGUGCAGAAACCAUCAGGAGGGUGUGUGCAGCCCAGAGCGGGGGACCCAGCCACUGGAGGAAGGAGGCAGAGAAGGGAGAGCAAGGGAAGAUGAGGGUGGAAGAAGCAGGGCUGGAGGGACAGAGACUAAGGUAGUAAUUGGGACUACAAAAGUCACUGCUGGAUGUAAAACACCUGAAGAUAAACUUGAAGACCUCCUUUGGGCUGAGAAUUGCUUUUAAAUGUUGAUUUGGUCACCUUAGAAGAACUAGGUCUUCAGGCCCAAGUGGGCUGAACUGAAUAAAGAGCCUCUGCUCUGCCUGAUGAAAUGCUCAUGCCUCACAUUUUGGGUCUCCUUGCCUGCUACCUGCUCCUGUCACCCCUCUGCUACCAGGCUUAGCCUGAAGUGCCAAAAAAACUGACUGUAUGUGCCAAGGAGGAAUUUUCAUCUCAAAGUGAACUAUUGAGGAAAAUAGCAAGGUAAGCUUAUUCCCUGCUGUCUUUUGUCAGUCUGACAACGGGCUCUCAAAACCAGUUUGAAAUGGUAAGAUCUUCCAGCUUUAUGAUACAGCAAGAAUCAAAUGGAAGGAUGGUAGGCAGAAGGAAAUGUAGGGAAAAAGUCUUGCACAGCAUGUGCUGUCAAAAAAGAGAGAGUUAAGUGAGCUAACUGGAUAAGGUGAGGUUUGAUUUGAUUUUGUGAUACAAAAUCUGAGAGGAAAAAGCAUAGAAAGCAGAGAAAUUACUUUAGUGGUUUGAUUAUUGCCUAUCAUCACCCCCAAGCCCCCAAAUUGCUUUGUUCUAUUUUUCACAACAACAAGCCCUACAUAAACACCAGCAUCCUCACUAAUUACAUAUGACAAGGUGCUAUAAGAACUGCUUGGAGGUCAAAUAUAUUCCAUGGUGUCCUAAAAGCUGUGUUCCAUGGUCACUCCCUCCCCAUAAUUGUAGGGUGAGGACAGGGGUAAGUCUUCAGGGUCUUAUUUUUGGUGAGCUACACCAUUUGUACAAUGACAUCUUGCAGUCCUCUGUCAUCUUCCCAAACAGAUUUCUGAGCUUUACCAGUAGUGCUGCUUAAUGGGAAUUUCAGAGACAUUCCUCAAAAGUGUGUAGGUGACAUGCCUUGUCACAG